UACGUAGGAUGCAAGCGUUAUCCGGAAUUAUUGGGCGUAAAGAGUGUGUAGGUGGCGUGUUAAGUCAAAUGUUAAAUCUCAGGGCUCAACUCAGAGGCUGCAUUUGAUACUGGCAUGCUCGAGAUGUGGAGAGGUAAGCGGAAUUAGUAGUGUAGCGGUGAAAUGCGUAGAUAUUACUAAGAACACCAAUGGCGAAGGCAGCUUACUGGCCAUAUUCUGACGCUGAGACACGAAAGCGUGGGGAGCGAACAGGAUUAGAUACCCCCGUAGUCC
rnacentral:rRNA from 1 species